CGCGCUGAGACCGCGUUCCGACUGUGACGUCGGCGGGUGACCCCCCCCCCAGGUGUGGCUGGCUCGAGUUCACAACCCCUUUCAUGAGAUGCACCGCAUGUCGAGCCAUCGAUCAUUCCCUGCGGACGAUCCCGGGUGGAAAGACUCGUGGGCGCUCAGGGACGUCCAUCAGGCCGUCAAGGCCCGUCAUCCAGGUUGUAGCAGGAGAUUUCUUCCGUAGAGAUGGCUCCUGGAGGAGCCCCGACCCGUCAGCCGCCCUCUGGAAGAGCUGAGUGAGCUGCCGGCUGGAAGGCUCCUAGGUGAGCCAUCGGGACCCUCCGACGCCAGUGCCGGGGUGGCGCACGGUGGCCCCUGGUAUGUGUGUGCUCCAUGCACGGAGACGGAUUUACUGGUGUGCGGCACCCAGCGUGGUGCUGGCUGCUGGGGCUGCGCGUGCCUUUCCUGCAUGUCCCUGAGGAGUCUGAACGAUUGGAGUGGAAUUAGGGGCCAGGGGCCAGGGACCUGCUCAUCCUCUCCAAGAAGCUUAUACGCUCAUCAGAAAGGUGGAACAAUGUGAAUGGUUAGAGAUCUUCAACUUUCAAAGCCUCCCGUCCUCAGCAAGGUCAAGCAAGGCUGUGACAGACAGCGGCAUCUCCAGCUGGCCCGGCAUGCACCAGUGCUGCCCACACCUCCCCGGGAAAGGUGUCCUGGGAGGAGAGGGCAGAAUUGGCUGCGGGCCCUGCAGCCCUGUCCCGUGCCCCUCAGCCCUCCCCUGCCCGGGACAGGGAAGUGGUCCCGGAGGUGUUGAGUCAUCACCAGGUGCUGCUGUGCAGGGGCGGAGGGUGCCGGUGGCCCAGGGGUAUCGAUCCCACCCUUUUCCCGUGGGAAGUAAGUUCAUGUUUGUGUGGCCAGCUUGCCUUGUCUUUCUCUUCCUUGCAGCCAGACGCCUUCCUAAGGGUACAAGGUCCUGCCUCAGCUGCUGCUUGCCCUCCUGUUCAUGCUGUCUCACUGCAGUGUAGACGAUGUGAGUUGUGCAGAGCCCUUGCCCAGUGGUGUCUGGUGGCACUGCCAGCCACUCUGGCCUUGGUUCUGUGCCGUUUGCAAGCCCAUCUCAGGCGGUGUCUUCACACGCGCCUCUGCUGUCUUGGAACGGCUUCUUCCCGCCCCUCUCACCCCCGCCCAGCCAGCACUUCAUGGCCUGGACGACUCCUCCUGAUUCCCCGGAGCCUCAGUUUCCCUGUUGCUGUCAGGAAACGUAGACACAGAGCUCCCUGUGACCCUUGCUUUAAACUCUCACAGCAACAUUUAUUUUCCUUCAACAUGUUCAUCAUAGUUAUAAGCAAAUAAUCCUUUGGGUGGUGGAAAGGUGAUUUUUUUUCCUUGUGCUUGGCUGCAAGAGAGCAUGGGGCACGUGUUUUCGUGGGUGUGUUUGUCUGGCACGUGGCAGGGCACAGGGCACGUGAGGGGGACUUGAGAAGUGCAUCAACCCGGGAGGAGUAGUGGAUCAGCUCGUGUGCAGUGAACUCGGCCACGUGUUCCUGAAACGCAGGGACCACUGGGCGGACCUAAGAGCAGGAAACCAGUGCGAGUCACUCGGGCUGUGACGUUCCUAGUCUGCCCCCAGCGGGGCAGCUGACCUCGCCAGAGGCCGGCAGCCUGGGCACAGGGACAGGGCUCUGGCGGCAGGGAGGCCAGGGAGCGUGGGUCAGGGAGCUUCACGGGUGCAGUGGAGGAAUACUAGACCCGGGCAGGUUCUCACGUGCUCGCCUUGCGCCCUCCUUCCUGCUCCCUUGCUGAAGCCUCCACAGCUGGGGCCGCCAUCUGCACUCUCAGCUCAGCUGGCAAGGGGGCCGCGGGGCCGCCCCGGGGCCACCAUCGUGAUUUACACCGCCACACUUGUUCCACCUUCUGGGGAAAAUGGGAUGGGGUGAGACAUAAAGAAACAUUAUUUCCCGAAGGUGGACUCCAUUUCUUUAACCAUUCAUAAGUGUCAAAAACUAACUUACGACCCCUCGGGGGCUGGUAUUAUAUUUCAGUGACUCUCCAGCUGUGAUUGCUGCGUACAUUCUAGAGCAUCCCUCUCCCCCACAGGCACACCCUGUGCACGCACAGCAGUGGCAAUGCAGCCACAGCCAGCUGUGUCCGCGAGCGGCCAGGGCGGCGGGACACCGUCACGCCGGGUGAGUGUCAGCACGCACCACACGGGGUGAGGAAACCGUCCCGUUCGUGUUGUUCUUGUGAUUGAUUAAAUCUGGCUUUUGUGAGCCCAUAAAAAGUGAGGCAGUCGGGGGACUCUGGGCUCGGUGCAAAUGUGAACUACCUAUGGCAGGUGCUUUCAGCCCUGAGAAGUCUGCCCAUUAACACGCAGGACGGCCAUCCUGUGAUGUCGCGAUGCUCUGUCUGGGCCCCAGUGAAAGAGAACGGGGCCUCGGAGCAUCCAAACAGGCGUGGGGACCACGGCGAGUCCUCUGCUUCCCCACAUGCAGGAGCCGUCAGGGAAGCACGAGAUAAUAUAAAAUUGCAUGUUUAUUCGUUAUUAGAAGAGACCAAAGAGUAUAGUUACCGACUGUAUUUUUUAUUAUGGUAUGGCAGUAUCGUUUAGCCUUAUUAUAUCCGCUAAUCAAAAGUUUUCUUACGUUUUCUGAAGGGGCAGCCCCAGAGAGUGCCUGGCCUGGAUGUGGGACCGCAGGGGAGGCCUGGGG